rnacentral:rRNA from 1 species
UACGUAGGGCGCAAGCGUUGUCCGGAAUUAUUGGGCGUAAAGAGCUCGUAGGCGGCCUGUCGCGUCUGCUGUGAAAUCCCGGGGCUCAACCCCGGGCCUGCAGUGGAUACGGGCUGGCUGGAGGCAGGCAGGGGAGAACGGAAUUCCUGGUGUAGCGGUGAAAUGCGCAGAUAUCAGGAGGAACACCGGUGCGAAGGCGGUUCUCUGGGCUGUUCAUGCGCUGAGGAGCGAAAGCAUGGGGAGCGAACAGG